rnacentral:rRNA from 1 species
GUAGGUGGCAAGCGUUGUCCGGGAAUUAUUGGGGCGUAAAGCGCGCGCAGGCGGUUCUUUAAGUCUGAUGUGAAAGCCCACGGGCUCAACCGUGGAGGGUCAUUGGAAACUGGAGAACUUGAGUACAGAAGAGGAAAGCGGAAUUCCACGUGUAGCGGUGAAAUGCGUAGAGAUGUGGAGGAUCACCAGUGGCGAAGGCGGCUUUCUGGUCUGUAACUGACGCUGAGGCGCGAAAGCGUGGGGAGCAAACAGGAUUAGAUACCCUGGUAGUCCACGCCGUAAACGAUGAGUGCUAAGUGUUAGGGGGUUUCCGCCCCUUAGUGCUGCAGCUAACGCAUUAAGCACUCCGCCUGGGGAGUACGGCCGCAAAGGCUG